rnacentral:rRNA from 1 species
GACGUAGGGCGCGAGCGUUGUCCGGAUUUAUUGGGCGUAAAGAGCUCGUAGGCGGCUUGUUGCGUCAGCUGUGAAAACCCGCAGCUCAACUGUGGGCUUGCAGCUGAUACGGGCAGGCUUGAGUUCGGUAGGGGAGACUGGAAUUCCUGGUGUAGCGGUGAAAUGCGCAGAUAUCAGGAGGAACGACCGGUGGCGAAGGCGGGUCUCUGGGCCGAGUACAUGA